rnacentral:rRNA from 1 species
UCCGGUUGAUCCUGCCGGACCUGACUGCUAUCGGAUUGGUACUAAGCCAUGCGAGUCAUUGUAGCAAUACAAGGCGGACGGCUCAGUAACACGUAGUCAACCUAACUCGUGGACGUGGAUAACCUCGGGAAACUGAGAAUAAACCACGAUAGAUCAUAGUGCCUGGAAUGGCUUAUGGUCCAAACAGUUUACUGCCAUGGGAUGGGACUGCGGCCUAUCAGCUUGUUGGUGAGGUAAUGGCCCACCAAGGCGAUUACAGGUACGGGCUCUGAGAGGAGAAGCCCGGAGAUGGGUACUGAGACACGGACCCAGGCCCUAUGGGGCGCAGCAGGCGAGAAACCUUAGCAAUGUGCGAAAGCACGACUGGGUCAGUCCGAGUGAUUCCUGAUAAAGGAGUCUUUUGCUUGUCCUAAAAGCACAGGUGAAUAAGGGGUGGGCAAGUCUGGUGUCAGCCGCCGCGGUAAUACCAGCACCUCGAGUGGUCAGGACGUUUAUUGGGCCUAAAGCAUCCGUAGCCGGCUUUGCAAGUCUUCGGUUAAAUCCACCUGCUCAACAGAUGGGCCGCUGGAGAUACUACAGAGCUAGGGAGUGGGAGAGGCAGACGGUAUUCAGUGGGUAGGGGUAAAAUCCUCUGAUCCAUUGAGGACCACCAGUGGCGAAGGCGGUCUGCCAGAACACGUUCGACGGUGAGGGAUGAAAGCUGGGGGAGCAAACCGGAUUAGAUACCCGGGUAGUCCCAGCUGUAAACGAUGCAAACUCGGUGAUGCAUUGGCUUAUGGCCAAUGCAGUGCCGCAGGGAAGCCGUUAAGUUUGCCGCCUGGGAAGUACGGACGCAAGUCUGAAACUUAAAGGAAUUGGCGGGGGAGCACCACAAGGGGUGAAGCCUGCGGUUCAAUUGGAGUCAACGCCAGGAAUCUUACCCGGGGAGACAGCAGAAUGAAGGUCAAGCUGAAGACUUUACCAGACAAGCUGAGAGGUGGUGCAUGGCC